GCGAGAGUGGCGGAACUGGCAGACGCACCGGAUUUAGGAUCCGGUAGCCGAAAGGCUGUGGGGGUUCAAAUCCCCCCUUUCGCACCA
rnacentral:tRNA from 1 species